rnacentral:misc_RNA from 1 species
GAAAUGCGAUAAUUAAUGUGAAUUGCAGAAUUCAGUGAAUCAUCGAGUCUUUGAACGCACAUUGCGCCCCCUGGUAUUCCGGGGGGCAUGCCUGUCCGAGCGUCAUUGCUGCCCUCAAGCACGGCUUGUGUGUUGGGCUACCGUCCCUGGCAACGGGGACGGGCCCAAAAGGCAGUGGCGGCACCAUGUCUGGUCCUCGAGCGUAGGGGCUUUGUCACCCGCUCCCGUAGGUCCAGCUGGCAGCUAGCCUCGCAACCAAUCUUUUUAACCAGGUUGACCUCGGAUCAGGUAGGGAUACCCGCUGAACUUAAGC